rnacentral:rRNA from 1 species
AUUGAACGCUGGCUGCAUGCCUUACACAUGCAAGUCGAACGGUAACAGGUCUUCGGAUGCUGACGAGUGGCGAACGGGUGAGUAAUACAUCGGAACGUGCCCGAUCGUGGGGGAUAACGAAGCGAAAGCUUUGCUAAUACCGCAUAAGAUCUAUGGAUGAAAGCAGGGGACCGCAAGGCCUUGCGCGAACGGAGCGGCCGAUGGCAGAUUAGGUAGUUGGUGGGAUAAAAGCUUACCAAGCCGACGAUCUGGAGCUGGUCUGAGAGGACGACCAGCCACACUGGGACUGAGACACGGCCCAGACGCCUACGGGAGGCAGCAGUGGGGAAUUUUGGACAAUGGGCGAAAGCCUGAUCCAGCCUUGCCGCGUGCAGGAUGAAGGCCUUCGGGUUGUAAACUGCUUUUGUACGGAACGAAAAGACUCUGGUUAAUACCUGGGGUCCAUGACGGUACCGUAAGAAUAAGCACCGGCUAACUACGUGCCAGCCGCCGCAGUAAUAC